rnacentral:rRNA from 1 species
GAUGAACGCUGGCGGCGUGCCUAAUACAUGCAAGUCGAGCGAAUGGAUUAAGAGCUUGCUCUUAUGAAGUUAGCGGCGGACGGGUGAGUAACACGUGGGUAACCUGCCCAUAAGACUGGGAUAACUCCGGGAAACCGGGGCUAAUACCGGAUAACAUUUUGAACCGCAUGGUUCGAAAUUGAAAGGCGGCUUCGGCUGUCACUUAUGGAUGGACCCGCGUCGCAUUAGCUAGUUUGUGAGGUAACGGCUCACCAAGGCAACGAUGCGUAGCCGACCUGAGAGGGUGAUCGGCCACACUAGGACUGAGACACGGCCCAGACUCCUACGGGAGGCAGCAGUAGGGAAUCUUCCGCAAUGGACGAAAGUCUGACGGAGCAACGCCGCGUGAGUGAUGAAGGCUUUCGGGCCGUAAAACUCUGUUGUUAGGGAAGAACAAGUGCUAGUUGAAUAAGCUGGCACCUUGACGGUACCUAACCAGAAAGCCACGGCUAACUACGUGCCAGCCGCCGCGGUAA